UACGGAGGGGGCGAGUGUUGUUCGGAAUUACUGGGCGUAAAGGGCGCGCAGGCGGCAUGGCAAGUCGAGUGUGAAAUCCCCCGGCUUAACUGGGGAAUGGCGCUCGAAACUACCGCGCUGGAGGGCGGGAGAGGGAAGUGGAACUCUCGGUGUAGGGGCGAAAUCUGUAGAUAUCGAGAGGAACACCGGUGGCGAAGGCGGCUUCCUGGCCCGUACCUGACGCUGAGGCGCGAAAGCGUGGGGAGCAAACAGG
rnacentral:rRNA from 1 species